CCCCACACCUCCCACUAGCUCCAAAGGAAACUCUUACCCCCCCUCCCCCCCCAAUGCCCAGGCGAAGAGCUGAGGCGUGUCGUAAAGAGUGCCCAUCAGUCUGUCACUUACCACGGGGAGGGGAGGAGUGCGCGCCGUUUCCUCUGAUUACAGACACCACCAUGAAGGCGGGCAUCCACAUGGGCAUUGCAUUGUGGGUAUUUUGGGCAUUAGCGACCUCAGCCUUUGCCCAAGAGAGCUGCAACGUCAAGGAACAGUGUAGUGACUGCAUCCAGACGCCGGGGUGCAUGUGGUGCUCAAAGCCCAAGACCAGGGAGAACGGCGCCGCCCCCAGCCACUGCUUUGCCGAGACGUCCCAGUUCGAGAAUUUCUGCGAGGCCGAGCACGUCGAGAACCCGCAGAACGAGGUCUGGACCCUGAAGGACGAGCCGCUCGAGUUAGAUGUUUCGAAAGACAGUAGAGUGACAAAUCAAGGGAGAAUCAUACAGCUGGCACCACAAAGACUCCGACUCAAGCUACGCAAAGGGAAAUCCCAACACAUCAGCGUGACCUACAGACAGGUCAAGGACUACCCCGUCGACCUGUACUACCUCAUGGACCUCUCCAACUCCAUGCUGGACGACAAGGAGAACCUCGCCAAGUUGGGCUCCAAGCUGGCCGAGACCAUGAGGAACCCUCACGACGCGCAGUUCAAGCUGGGAUUGGCUCCUUCGUCGCAUAAGGUUGCUGAUGCCCUUCGCAGACACAGCGCAGGAGAAGUAAGUAAAACGACCGAAAUCAAACAUAAACCCCUACUUUUCCCUUUUUUCCUCCUCCUCCCUCCCCCCUCCCCCUCCCCAUCCCUCCCUCCCUCCCCCUCCUCCUCCCGAUCCCCAACAGGAAAAAGUCCUCAGCGCCCCUAUCUCAGGCAACAUGGACGCCCCUGAGGGAGGAUUCGACGCCUAAUGCAAGCUAUGGUGUGCAAGAGCAGAUCGGCUGGAGGGACCCGUGCGCAGGAUUAUUGUCUUUUCGACCGACGCCAAAUUCCACCACGCGGGAGACGGCAGGCUCGCGGGGAUCGUGCAGCCCAACGACGAGCAGUGCCAUCUGGACGACCAAGGAGUGUACAACGACUUCGACAAGUACGACUACCCUUCUGUGGCGCAGAUCAACAAAAUUGCCCAACGCGAGGAAAUCAACGUCAUUUUCGCCGUCUCUGGGUAUCCGGACCUCUACGAAUCCCUCUCGAAGAUGAUCGAAGCUUCAUCCUUCGGGGUUCUGGACGCCAAUUCGGCCAACGUGGUGGAACUCGUCAAGGAGCAGUACGAAAAAAUCACCUCAAAGAUCAAACUGAGCGACAACCUGACAGACACUUCCCCAGUCACCAUUAGCUACUCCUCGAAGUGUCAUGGCACCCAGGACGUGGCGACGAACGAGUGUGGUGACAUGAAGGAAGGGUCUGAAGUUGUGUUCGAUCUGAAUGUGACGGCGAUCAAAUGCCCAGCGGACGGAAAGCCCUUCUUCAUCGAGGUGAAGACGCUGCAGGACAAACUCAUCCUCGAGGUCCAGUUCGACUGCAACUGCGGGUGUGAGACGACGAAUCGAGUGGACAAUUCCAGCAGUUGCCACAACCAAGGGGCUCUCGUGUGUGGCGUUUGCUCGUGCGUUACCCGGUGCUACCGCGGUGGACCGCUGCCAGUGCUCGACCAGUGGUUUCCAUGAACUCAAUGAGGAUGAGAGUCAGUGCAUCAUGCCAGGAGACACUUACGCGUGUUCGAAUCAAGGUUACUGUAGCUGCGGCGCAUGCGUGUGUGACAUCCCUGAAUUCGUGGACGGGAAGUACUGUCAGUGCAACCGGCGUCUGUGCAGCAUCGGGAACAGCAAGGAGUGUUUCGGGCACGGGACCUGCGAGUGCGGGAAGUGCAAAUGCAAGCCUGGAUACCAGGGGGAAUAUUGCGAGUGUGAGGAUGACUCGAAGUGCAGAGAACUAGGCAAGCAAGAGGUGUGCUCGGGCCACGGGGAGUGCAAGUGUGGCAAGUGUCGCUGCAUCCAGUCAGAUAAUGUCCAUUACUCCGGCCAAUACUGUGAAGAUUGCCAGUCCUGCAGUACGGGGAAGUGUGGCAAGUUCCGGGACUGCGUUCAGUGCCAACACUUCGGGACAGGUGUGCUGGGAAAGGAGGAGUGUAACAAGUGCGAGAUCAAGCCCCAGCCAGUCCACUCUUUGGAAGACAAGAUCUUGAACAACGCUCGCCUCUGCACUUUCGAAGACACAGAUACAGGCUGUUACUUCAACUUCACUUAUUUGUACAUGGAUAACGGAAAGUACGACAUUUACGUCCUCAGGGAACAGCAGUGUCCGGAAGCUGCACCUGUUUUGGGCAUCGUGUUCGGACUCGUGGCCGCAAUUGUGGCUAUUGGCCUCCUCACGCUCCUGAUUUGGAAAUUACUCACAACAAUACACGACCGUCGAGAGUAUGCCAAGUUUGAAGACGAACGCAGGAAAGCUCAGUGGAAUACGGAUGGCAACCCCCUCUACAGACCUGCGACCAACACCUUCAAAAAUCCGGCUUUUGCCCAACAAGCUCAGUAAUGGAAGGGGGGGGGGGGGGUAAUCCGUGGGUUUGUGAUACUAAAUUUACUUUAAAUUAAUUCCCUUUUUCUUCUUCACAGCUGAUUUUUUUAUAUCUUAACAUUUGAUUUGAGUUUUUCAUUUUACUUAUAUUAUUUUUAAUCUUCAUACUGGUUUUAUUAUGCUUGCUUUAAAUGUUAGACAAGAUUUUUUUUCACGCUAAUUUCUGUUUUUCCAAUGUUAUGUUUGACAUAUCAGAUAAUUUUUUCAUGAGUUAUUAUUAUGGUAAUUAAUAUAAUUAAUAUUCGUUUAGUCUUGAUUAAGAGGGUGGACAUUUUCUUUUAUAAACAAUGAAGUUUCCUUUACCUUGUCUUAAAAUGUGCAGAAUUAGUAAUGUUAACUUAUGACACCAAAGAUUUAAUAAAUAUGACACCAAAGGGUGUAUAAAAAUA